UACGGGGGGGGCAAGCGUUGUUCGGAAUUACUGGGCGUAAAGGGCUCGUAGGUGGCCAACUAAGUCGGACGUGAAAUCCCUCAGCUUAACUGGGGAACUGCGUCCGAUACUGGAUGGCUCGAGUUUGGGAGAGGGAUGCGGAAUUCCAGGUGUAGCGGUGAAAUGCGUAGAUAUCUGGAGGAAUACCGGUGGCGAAGGCGGCAUCCUGGACCAACACUGACACUGAGGAGCGAAAGCCAGGGGAGCAAACGGG
rnacentral:rRNA from 1 species